GGUCAAUACUGGUAAUUGGGGCUAAGUCUUAACAAGGUAGCCGUACCGGAAGGUGUGGCUGGAACACCUCCUUU
rnacentral:rRNA from 1 species